rnacentral:rRNA from 1 species
UACGUAGGGGGCAAGCGUUGUCCGGAAUUAUUGGGCGUAAAGAGCGCGUAGGCGGUCCGAUAAGUCGGCUGUGAAAGUCAGGGGCUCAACCCUUGGAAGCCGGCCGAUACUGUCGGACUAGAGUCCGGAAGAGGCGAGUGGAAUUCCCGGUGUAGCGGUGAAAUGCGCAGAUAUCGGGAGGAACACCAAUGGCGAAGGCGGCUCACUGGCCCGGUACUGACGCUGAGGCGCGAAAGCGUGGGGAGCAAACAGG